GGAACCCACUAGCUACUGGCUAGUAUCCAUAACUGUUAAGGUUAUGAGAAGGAAGACGCAGUGAACUGAAACAUCUAAGUAGCUGCAGGAAGAGAAAGCAAACGCGAUUGCCUUAGUAGCGGCGAGCGAAACGGCAGGAGGGCAAACCGAGAAGUUUACUUCUCGGGGUUGUAGGACUGCGACGUGGGACUUUAAAAGGAUAGAAGAAUUACCUGGGAAGGUAAGCCAAAGAGAGUAAUAGCCUC
rnacentral:rRNA from 1 species